rnacentral:rRNA from 1 species
UACCGUGAGGGAAAGUUGAAAAGCACUUUGAAGAGAGAGUUCAAGAGUACGUGAAACCGUUUGGAGGUAAACAGGUGGAGCCUCGAAAGCCUAAGGCGGUGGCGGAUUCAGUUUCGGACCCUAGGCACCCUUUCGAGCUUGGCCUCGUCGAGAGGAGGCCCGCGAGGGGUUCUUGCCUGGGGCUUGGGGCGCACUUCCGCACCCCGUCCAUUGGGACACCACAGCGGGUUGGAUGGCUGUCGUGGGGACGGGACGAAAGGUGGCCGCCUUUGCCUUCGGGCAUCGGCGGUGUUACAGACUCCCGUAACCUGAGGAGCCGUCCGACCGUGGUGGAGGAAGUCCUCGCAGUCGCUCCCGCCCGAGGGUGCAUGACCCUUCCCGCACCGGGUUCACGCUGGCGCGUCGCCUCUGGGGGCGAACGACUCGUGUUUGCGGUCCCCGGGAAGGUGGGUAUGCUGGGAGCCUGAGGCUGGUGGUGAGUAGUUCGGUUCCUCCACCUGACCCGUCUUGAAACAC